rnacentral:rRNA from 1 species
UACGGAGGGUGCGAGCGUUGUCCGGAAUCAUUGGGCGUAAAGGGUGCGUAGGCGGCGCGGUAAGUCGGGUGUGAAAUCUCGGAGCUUAACUCCGAACUGCAUUCGAUACUGCCGUGCUUGAGGACUGGAGAGGAGACUGGAAUUUACGGUGUAGCGGUGAAAUGCGUAGAUAUCGUAAGGAAGACCAGUGGCGAAGGCGGGUCUCUGGACAGUUCCUGACGCUGAGGCACGAAGGUCAGGGAGCAAACGGG